AACGCGAAGAACCUUACCUGGGCUUGACAUUUAGGGAAAAGCCGUAGAGAUACGGUGUCCUUCGGGGUCCUAAACAGGUGGUGCAUGGCUGUCGUCAGCUCGUGUCGUGAGAUGUUGGGUUAAGUCCCGCAACGAGCGCAACCCUUGUCCUAUGUUGCCAGCGCGUAAUGGCGGGGACUCGUAGGAGACUGCCGGGGUCAACUCGGAGGAAGGUGGGGAUGACGUCAAGUCAUCAUGCCCCUUACGUCCAGGGCUGCACACAUGCUACAAUGGCCGGUACAACGGGCUGCUAUCCCGCGAGGGGGAGCCAAUCCCAAAAGCCGGUCUCAGUUCGGAUUGGAGUCUGCAACUCGACUCCAUGAAGUCGGAGUCGCUAGUAAUCCCGGAUCAGCAACGCCGGGGUGAAUACGUUCCCGGGCCUUGUA
rnacentral:rRNA from 1 species